rnacentral:lncRNA from 1 species
ACUUCUCUUUCCUGCCCCCUUGUGAAGAAACUGCCUUGCUUUCUUUUCACCUUCCACCGUGAUUGUAAGUUUUCUGAGGCCUCCACAGCUAUGCUGAACUGUGAGUCAAUUAAACCUUUUUCCUUUAUAAAUUACCCAGUCUCAGGGGUAUGAAAACGGACAGUAUUAAAAUGGAUUAAUACAUCCCCUUUCCUUUUUUAUCUGGCCUGGGGACAAAAUUUUUUUUUCUCUCUCUUCCUCUUCUGCUUUUAGCUUUUUGUAUUGGAGACUGGUAAGAGGAAUGAGGGAAUAGAAGCAAAGUAUUUUUUUCUGAACUGGUCCUGCCUCAGAUGAUGUCCUAGAGUUGACUUGUAUCAGCUGAUUAUUAAAGUUACAGAAAUUUUAUGUGCCAAUUGUUAAAUGUUAUUAUUAAAACCAAAUUAUAUCAAAUUAUAUUGAAAACAGGCAAUAAAUGCUAACAACGUGUCACUUCCUAAUUAUUUUACUGUCUUACUAUUAUCUAUUCUUUUAUGGUUAUUUAGGUGUAUCACACUUUUAUAUGGUGGAAAUACUUUUGUAACUAUAUGCUGUUGCUUAUGUCUUCCAACUCCAAUCAGUCAUAUCCCACUGAUAGCUUAAAAUCACACAUGGUCGGUGUGUUUAUACAAUGGAAAUAAGCAAACAUUACGUAUCAGUGCUUUUUCCCCUCUGCAUUGAUUUCUGGUUGUCAAACGUUUACUAGCAAACCACUGCCUACAGUUCUCUGUUGUAUAUAUUUGUAUCAUCUUUGACCCAUCCUGGCUGGUGAAUGCAGUCUGUGUGGUAAACAUGAAAAUGUUAGCUGUCUUAAGGGGAUCAUCCAUGAGAUUUUUGAGGGUAUCCUUUGAGACACCCUCAACAUCACAGCUCCUAAUAGGAGAAGCUCCUGCUCUACCUCCUCAUCUUUACCUGGAGAAGAAAACCUCUCAGCCUCUUGCUACUAGGUCCCUUUGCCAGUGGCUAGCCCUCAUUUGUGUAGCAUUGGCAAAACAGACCAAGCCCCAUCUCUCUUUAAGUCCACUUGACUCAUCAAAUAAAGUUAGGCCUGAAAAUGAAAGGAUAUGAUUAUUUGGAUAACGAGUUUACUGUUAGUCAAAGUAAUACUGUCCCAAUUGGGUUCCCCAGCAAGAAAAUUCUGAGUUGGAGCUAGUGUACAGAAAGUAUAUUAAAGUGGGGGUUACAGAGGAAGAAAAUUGGGCAGAAGGAGAAGUUGGGCUGAGGGGCAGUCACAACAAAGCCUCUACCUACACUGUGGCAGCUCUAAAACUAGAAUGGCCUUUUAGAGUUGUCCUGAUUUGGGGUGAGAAAUCCAGGCUUUUACAGUGCAUUAAGUGGUCUUUUUUUUAUUAUUAUACUUUAAGUUUUAGGGUACGUGUGCACAAUGUGCAGGUUAGUUACAUAUGUAUACAUGUGACAUGCUGGUGUGCUGCACCCACUAACUCGUCAUCUAGCAUUAGGUAUAUCUUCCAAUGCUAUCCCUCCCCCCUCCCCCC